CCUGUUACAUGUCACUCUAGCAUCUCACCUGUGGUUCAGCCUGUUACAUGUCACUCUAGCAUCUCUCCUGUGGUUCAGCCUGUUACAUGUCACUCUAGCAUCUCUCCUGUGGUUCAGCCUGUCAGUUGUGGUCCAGGGGUCAACUUGAGAGGUCACUCACUCCCAUGGCCCUGCCACAACACCAAUACCAUUCAACCUACUCUGACCUACACUGGCCUCAGAAAAACAGCAGAAAAACAUGGAAGACUUUUGGUUUGAACUGAAUGUCAUUGCUCCCUGAUUAUAAUCUGAUGUUAACAUGCCUUCGGACUUUGUACAUAUUUUGAACAUGGCCUUGUUGGUUUGGUUUUUACAUGAGAAUGUGUCUAUAAGUGCUUUAUAGGCAAAGCGUUUCGGUACGCUUGUGUUGUUGACAGACCUGGGUUGAAAUACUAUUUGAUAUCGUUUCAAAUACUUUAUCUUGGCUCGACUGGCACAAUGGAACCAAUAGAAUAGUCACACGGACUGCAAGCCCCGCCCAUCAGGCACUCCAGGCAGACUAGACUAGAGCAAACUCUGAACGUUUUUGAAAGAUUUCAAGUAGUAAUUGAACCCUGGUCUGGUUGUUGAAAACAAGUACUAUGUGAGCAUAUUGUAUAUCUGAGAAGCCAAGAUUAUAGGUUUUCCUAGUUUUUGUUUUUAGACUUGUCAAAAUAUGUGAUGUCUUUUUGUUCUUUCUACCAGCUGUGUUAUAACCUAGUGAAGCAUUACACUGCUGUUGGAAGGAAAAGGCCCAAGUCAAUGGUUAUGUACCAAAUGGUACCCUAUUCCUUACAAGUGACACUUCUUUUGACUAGAGCUCUAUGGGCCCUGGUUCAAAGUAGUGCACUAUGGUACAUAGGGAAUAGGGUGCCAUUUGGGAUGCAGUAAUUAUUAUAGCUUUUUUGGAAAAGCAAACUGUAGUUAUUAUGGAGUGUCCUAUGUAGGUUAGGUUGUGCUGUUGUUGAUGUGUGUGUGUGUACAAUCGGUUUCCCUUUUCAUUUCUAAAGAGUCAAGAACAAGGUCAUUUUCCUUUUUAAACAGUGCCUAUUAAAUACUAAAAGAUGAACACUUUUGAAUUACAAGACAUCUAUAAAGUUAACUCUGACCAAGUUGUUCUCUCAACAAUUGACAUCAGAUGAGGAGUUAGGAUGAGAAGUUUAUUGUUUAUUAUGAAGUGUAAAAGAAGCCUGUCUGCUACAAUAUGUAAAGGGUUGUUUCUGUCUGACUGACUGACUCAGGAAAGAAGAUCCCUGGUUAACAGGUUCAUUCUCUAUUCUGGGUUUUCAACAGAGGAUCCUGCAUAUAACCAGUCCCACAGGAGCAAUACAACUCUGGCUGUGUCCCAAAGGGCAAUCUAUUCCUUUAUAUAGAGCACUACUUUCAACUGGUGAAAUGUAGGGAACUAUGUCGGGAAUAGUGUGUUAUUUGGGACACGCAGACUUAUUAUACACUAUUUCCUAACUGAAUGAAACCAAAUUGAGUCAUUCAUGGAGAAUUUUAACAUUUUGCAUUAGAGCAUGUUUUGUUU
rnacentral:lncRNA from 1 species